rnacentral:rRNA from 1 species
UACGGAGGAUCCGAGCGUUAUCCGGAUUUAUUGGGUUUAAAGCGUGCGUAGGCGGACUGGUAAGUCAGCUGUGAAAGUCUACGGCUCAACCGUGGAAAUGCAGUUGAUACUGUCUAGCUUGAGUAUACAUGAGGUGGGCGGAAUUUGAGGUGUAGCGGUGAAAUGCUUAGAGAUCAGGAAGAACUCCAAUUGCGAAGGCAGCUCACUGGGGUAUAACUGACGCUGAUGCACGAAAGUGUGGGUAUCAAACAGG